AUUGAACGCUGGCGGCAGGCCUAACACAUGCAAGUCGAGCGGCAGCGGGAAAGUAGCUUGCUACUUUUGCCGGCGAGCGGCGGACGGGUGAGUAAUGCCUGGGAAAUUGCCCAGUCGAGGGGGAUAACAGUUGGAAACGACUGCUAAUACCGCGUACGCACUACGGGGGAAAGAAGGGGACCUUCGGGCCUUGCGCGACUGGAUAUGCCCAGGUGGGAUUAGCUAGUUGGUGAGGUAAUGGCUCACCAAGGCGACGAUCCCUAGCUGGUCUGAGAGGAUGAUCAGCCACACUGGAACUGAGACACGGUCCAGACUCCUACGGGAGGCAGCAGUGGGGAAUAUUGCACAAUGGGGGAAACCCUGAUGCAGCCAUGCCGCGUGUGUGAAGAAGGCCUUCGGGUUGUAAAGCACUUUCAGCGAGGAGGAAAGGUUGAUGCCUAAUACGUAUCAACUGUGACGUUACUCGCAGAAGAAGCACCGGCUAACUCCGUGCCAGCCGCCGCAGUAAAAC
rnacentral:rRNA from 1 species